CAGAUAAUUAUCUGUGACACCCAUGGUGCACUGUGAGCAGGUAUACUGGCCCACAUAGCAUGCAGAUAAUCAUCUGUGACACCCAUGGUGCACUGUGAGCAGGUAUACAGGCCCACAUAGCAUGCAGAUAAUUAUCUGUGACACCCAUGGUGCACUGUGAGCAGGUAUACAGGCCCACAUAGCAUGCAGAUAAUUAUCUGUGACACCCAUGGUGCACUGUGAGCAGGUAUACAGGCCCACAUAGCAUGCAGAUAAUUAUCUGUGACACCCAUGGUGCACUGUGAGCAGGUAUACAGGCCCACAUAGCAUGCAGAUAAUCAUCUGUGACACCCGUGGUGCACUGUGAGCAGGUAUACUGGCCCACAUAGCAUGCAGAUAAUCAUCUGUGACACCCAUGGUGCACUGUGAGCAGGUAUACUGGCCCACAUAGCAUGCAGAUAAUUAUGGGCGCUUUUCUACCGCACAAAGUACGGUACUUUCAGUAUGGUACUUUUGCUUUUCCAUUGACUUCCGGUAGAGUAUCAAAAGUUCCAGUACAAGUCUGACAGCCUGGGGGAGAAGUUGAUACCCAAGUACCGGAUAUUUCCAGUGUGAAAUGAAAUGGACCAUCCUGAUCAGCAAAAUCCCAGGCAUCUUCUGACAGUGAGAAUAUUGUGGGUUUUUUCCGGUUUAUUGUGUAGUUUGAUAGAUUUGAAAAGAUAUUAAUAAAAUUCAAAUUUCAUAUAUUGAGGGUUGAGGGUUUUGUACAAACAGCAAGAUAUCAUCUGCAUAGAGUAAUUUUGUUUUCAGUUAUUGGUAUGAAUUCCAUUUAUUUUACUGUUCUGUUGUAUUGGUGCCAGAAGUGUUUCUAUGAAGAUGGCAAACAGUGAAGGAGAGAGUGGGCAUGCAGGCCGUAUUCCCCGUCGGAGUGUGAAUGCAGGUGAUGUCAUCCCAUGUGUGACACUGUAGCUUUGGGUGAAGUGUGCAGUAUUUUAACCCAGUGGGUGGACAACUCUCCAAAGCCAAAUCUAUGUAAUGUAUUAAAGAGAAAUGUCCACCUGACUGUCAGAUGCCGUUUCUGCAUUUAAUGAUGUAAUCAUGGUUUUAGUAUGGGUAUGCUGAGCAGUACUGACUAAAUUAAAUAAUCUAUGGAUGUUGUCUUAGGCAUGUCUUGUCCUGAUGAAGUCUGUCUGAUCAGGAUGGAUUAUAGUAGGAAUGACUGUCUGUAACCGAGUGGUGAGAGCUUUUGUGAUGUUUUCAAGUCUGUAUUCAUUAGUGGCAGGUAAUUGGAGG